CCUACGGGAGGCAGCAGUGAGGAAUAUUGGUCAAUGGACGAAAGUCUGAACCAGCCAAGUAGCGUGAAGGAUGACUGCCCUAUGGGUUGUAAACUUCUUUUAUAUGGGAAUAAAAUGUUCCACGUGUGGGAUUUUGUAUGUACCAUAUGAAUAAGGAUCGGCUAACUCCGUGCCAGCAGCCGCGGUAAUACGGAGGAUCCGAGCGUUAUCCGGAUUUAUUGGGUUUAAAGGGAGCGUAGGUGGAUUGUUAAGUCAGUUGUGAAAGUUUGCGGCUCAACCGUAAAAUUGCAGUUGAAACUGGCAGUCGUGAGUACAGUAGAGGUGGGCGGAAUUCGUGGUGUAGCGGUGAAAUGCUGAGAUAUCACGAAGAACUCCGAUUGCGAAGGCAGCUCACUGGACUGCAACUGACACUGAGGCUCGAAAGUGUGGGUAUCAAACAGGAUUAGAUACCCGUGUAGUC
rnacentral:rRNA from 1 species